GAUGAGCGCUGACAGAAUGCUUAACACAUGCAAGUCUUUGGCGAAGCUGUGCUCGCACAGCCUAGCCAAGGCGGACGGGUGAGUAACGCGUAAGGAACUUGCCCUGCAGUCAGGGAUAACAGACGGAAACGACUGAUAAGACCUGGUAAAGUCAGGCGGACUCAUGUCCAGCCUGAUGAAAAGAGAUGCUGCAGGAGAGCCUUGCGUCCUAUUAGCUUGUUGGUGGGGUAACGGCCCACCAAGGCGAUGAUAGGUAGCCGGCCUGAGAGGGUGGACGGCCACAAGGGGACUGAGAUACGGCCCUUACUCCUACGGGAGGCAGCAGUGGGGAAUAUUGGACAAUGGGGGCAACCCUGAUCCAGCAAUUCUGUGUGCACGAUGAAGGUUUUCGGAUUGUAAAGUGCUUUCAGCAGGGAAGAAAAAAAUGACGGUACCUGCAGAAGAAGCGACGGCUAAAUACGUG
rnacentral:rRNA from 1 species